GGGUUGUGAGGUUAAGCGACUAAGCGUACACGGUGGAUGCCCUGGCAGUCAGAGGCGAUGAAGGGCGUGCUAAUCUGCGAUAAGCGCCGGUAAGGUGAUAUGAACCGUUAUAACCGGCGAUACCCGAAUGGGGAAACCCAGUGUGACUCGUCACACUAUCAUUAACUGAAUCCAUAGGUUAAUGAGGCGAACCGGGGGAACUGAAACAUCUAAGUACCCCGAGGAAAAGAAAUCAACCGAGAUUCCCCCAGUAGCGGCGAGCGAACGGGGAGGAGCCCAGAGCCUGAAUCAGCAUGUGUGUUAGUGGAAGCGUCUGGAAAGGCGCGCGAUACAGGGUGACAGCCCCGUACACAAAAGCGCAUGUGCUGUGAGCUCGAUGAGUAGGGCGGGACACGUGGUAUCCUGUCUGAAUAUGGGGGGACCAUCCUCCAAGGCUAAAUACUCCUGACUGACCGAUAGUGAACCAGUACCGUGAGGGAAAGGCGAAAAGAACCCCGGCGAGGGGAGUGAAAAAGAACCUGAAACCGUGUACGUACAAGCAGUGGGAGCCCCACCACUAAGCCAGUGGUGAACUCCACAUACGCAUCCUUUGCUGAGGAUACGGUUAACGGAGCGAAAGCGACGUUCAACCGCAAAACAAGCAGAGGGGGCUUAGUGGUGGGGUGACUGCGUACCUUUUGUAUAAUGGGUCAGCGACUUAUAUUCUGUAGCAAGGUUAACCGAAUAGGGGAGCCGGAGGGAAACCGAGUCUUAAUUGGGCGUUAAGUUGCAGGGUAUAGACCCGAAACCCGGUGAUCUAGCCAUGGGCAGGUUGAAGGUUGGGUAACACUAACUGGAGGACCGAACCGACUAAUGUUGAAAAAUUAGCGGAUGACCUGUGGCUGGGGGUGAAAGGCCAAUCAAACCGGGAGAUAGCUGGUUCUCCCCGAAAGCUAUUUAGGUAGCGCCUCGUGAAUUCAUCUCCGGGGGUAGAGCACUGUUUCGGCUAGGGGGCCAUCCCGGCUUACCAACCCGAUGCAAACUGCGAAUACCGGAGAAUGUUAUCACGGGAGACACACGGCGGGUGCUAACGUCCGUCGUGAAGAGGGAAACAACCCAGACCGCCAGCUAAGGUCCCAAAGUCAUGGUUAAGUGGGAAACGAUGUGGGAAGGCCCAGACAGCCAGGAUGUUGGCUUAGAAGCAGCCAUCAUUUAAAGAAAGCGUAAUAGCUCACUGGUCGAGUCGGCCUGCGCGGAAGAUGUAACGGGGCUAAACCAUGCACCGAAGCUGCGGCAGCGACGCUUAUGCGUUGUUGGGUAGGGGAGCGUUCUGUAAGCCUGUGAAGGUGGCCUGUGAGGGUUGCUGGAGGUAUCAGAAGUGCGAAUGCUGACAUAAGUAACGAUAAAGCGGGUGAAAAGCCCGCUCGCCGGAAGACCAAGGGUUCCUGUCCAACGUUAAUCGGGGCAGGGUGAGUCGACCCCUAAGGCGAGGCCGAAAGGCGUAGUCGAUGGGAAACGGGUUAAUAUUCCCGUACUUGGUGUUACUGCGAAGGGGGGACGGAGAAGGCUAUGUUGGCCGGGCGACGGUUGUCCCGGUUUAAGCGUGUAGGCUGGUUUUCCAGGCAAAUCCGGAAAAUCAAGGCUGAGGCGUGAUGACGAGGCACUACGGUGCUGAAGCAACAAAUGCCCUGCUUCCAGGAAAAGCCUCUAAGCAUCAGGUAACACGAAAUCGUACCCCAAACCGACACAGGUGGUCAGGUAGAGAAUACCAAGGCGCUUGAGAGAACUCGGGUGAAGGAACUAGGCAAAAUGGUGCCGUAACUUCGGGAGAAGGCACGCUGACACGUAGGUGAAGUGAUUUACUCAUGGAGCUGAAGUCAGUCGAAGAUACCAGCUGGCUGCAACUGUUUAUUAAAAACACAGCACUGUGCAAACACGAAAGUGGACGUAUACGGUGUGACGCCUGCCCGGUGCCGGAAGGUUAAUUGAUGGGGUCAGCGCAAGCGAAGCUCCUGAUCGAAGCCCCGGUAAACGGCGGCCGUAACUAUAACGGUCCUAAGGUAGCGAAAUUCCUUGUCGGGUAAGUUCCGACCUGCACGAAUGGCGUAAUGAUGGCCAGGCUGUCUCCACCCGAGACUCAGUGAAAUUGAACUCGCUGUGAAGAUGCAGUGUACCCGCGGCAAGACGGAAAGACCCCGUGAACCUUUACUAUAGCUUGACACUGAACAUUGAGCCUUGAUGUGUAGGAUAGGUGGGAGGCUUUGAAGCGUGGACGCCAGUCUGCGUGGAGCCGACCUUGAAAUACCACCCUUUAAUGUUUGAUGUUCUAACGUGGACCCGUAAUCCGGGUUGCGGACAGUGUCUGGUGGGUAGUUUGACUGGGGCGGUCUCCUCCUAAAGAGUAACGGAGGAGCACGAAGGUUGGCUAAUCCUGGUCGGACAUCAGGAGGUUAGUGCAAUGGCAUAAGCCAGCUUGACUGCGAGCGUGACGGCGCGAGCAGGUGCGAAAGCAGGUCAUAGUGAUCCGGUGGUUCUGAAUGGAAGGGCCAUCGCUCAACGGAUAAAAGGUACUCCGGGGAUAACAGGCUGAUACCGCCCAAGAGUUCAUAUCGACGGCGGUGUUUGGCACCUCGAUGUCGGCUCAUCACAUCCUGGGGCUGAAGUAGGUCCCAAGGGUAUGGCUGUUCGCCAUUUAAAGUGGUACGCGAGCUGGGUUUAGAACGUCGUGAGACAGUUCGGUCCCUAUCUGCCGUGGGCGCUGGAGAACUGAGGGGGGCUGCUCCUAGUACGAGAGGACCGGAGUGGACGCAUCACUGGUGUUCGGGUUGUCAUGCCAAUGGCACUGCCCGGUAGCUAAAUGCGGAAGAGAUAAGUGCUGAAAGCAUCUAAGCACGAAACUUGCCCCGAGAUGAGUUCUCCCUGAGACUUAGAGUCUCCUGAAGGAACGUUGAAGACGACGACGUUGAUAGGCCGGGUGUGUAAGCGCAGCGAUGCGUUGAGCUAACCGGUACUAAUGAACCGUGAGGCUUAACCUUACAACGCCGAAG
rnacentral:rRNA from 1 species